rnacentral:rRNA from 1 species
GCUUGUCUCAAAGAUUAAGCCAUGCACGUCUAAGUAUAAGCGAUUAUACUGUGAAACUGCGAAUGGCUCAUUAUAUCAGUUAUAGUUUAUUUGAUGGUCCUUGCUACUUGGAUAACCGUAGUAAUUCUAGAGCUAAUACAUGCAUAAAUCCCCGACUGCUUGGAAGGGGUGUAUUUAUUAGAUGGAAACCAAACGGCUUCGGCCGUCUCAUUGGUGACUCUGAAUAACUUUGGGCUGAUCGUAUGGCCUUGUGCCGACGACGUUUCCUUCGAAGGUGUGCCCUAUCAACUGUCGACUGUGAUAUAGACGCUCACAGUGGUUUUGACGGGUAACGGGGAAUCAGGGUUCGAUUCCGGAGAGGGAGCCUUAAAAACGGCUACCACAUCCAAGGAAGGCAGCAGG